CGUCCCAUCAGUUGCUCAACAACCUGCAGCCUGGUGCAGUUUCCACAAUCGAACCAUGGAGCCCGGGGCAAAAUACCGAGCAGCCCCAGCGUAGACACCCCCAGCACACGCGUCCAGGAAUUAUAACCAGAGCGCAGAGAAGGCAGCGGGAGGGUGGAGACCCCGGCCAAGGAAACAACGAAAAGUCUCCUUCCCCCUUUUCUUCUGCUACACAGCCAUGAAGAAAAGCGACGGGGUGGUGGGGUGGCGGGGGGAGCCAAAUGCUUGUCUUCCUUUACGUUUCCUCGCUUCACACACACCAAGGGAGUAAAAACGGAGCAAAGAGAGUGGAGGGUUCAAAUGUCUCUCCCAGUCCACAGUUGCACAACUUCGGAGUCAGGCUCUGGCUCCAGCAGCAGCCGAGGGACCCCAGCGGCAGCUAUUAACAUGCGGCAGUCAUAGCUGGGGCUGCUUUUCCUCCUGCUGCUGCUACCGCUUAAGGAAACACGCUGCUGAAGAGACCAAAAAUCUGCCACCAUCCCCCCAGUCGAUCUUUAUAUCCAGUUCUCCCACCCCACCCCCUUUCUUUUUCUUCUUCUUCCUCGUCCUCCCCUUUCCGCUGGAGAGCGGGAGCGAUGGAAAAGGUAGGGGGAGCCGCGAGGGCCAGGGGUGGAUCCUUCUCCGCCAAACCCUCCUCCUUCUCCUCUCGGGGUUCUCUCGCCGCCGAGGGUCUCCCCACGCGCCCGAAACCUCCGCCGAGAGCGGGAGCGAGGGACCCACAAACUCCUUCCCAGGUGCACAGCGGGGGCUUGCCGGCGGAGCGGGAGCCCGGCCGCCUAGGGCUGCUUCCCGGGGGCCGCGGAGCCCCGAGCCCGGAGGGUGGCUGAUUAGCUCGUCGGCCCGGCCGGGCAGCUGCGGACAUGUGGGAGCUUCAUCGCGCGGCCCCGGGCUCGGACUCUUCUUCGACUCCCCGCGAGGGAGCAAGGUUCUGGCGCUCUCCAGACACGCACACUCACACACACGCACACACGAGCGAGCUUCUGCCAAAGCCAGCCGUGCAACCCGCGCGCGCGCACACCCGGAGAAAGAGGACGGAGGCAAAAAGAGAAGAAAGAAAGGGGAGGGGGCGAGUCACAGGCGGCAGCUGCGAGAGCUGAGGCCACGAGCAGUCCGGGAAAAGNNNNNNNNNNNNNNNNNNNNNNNNNNNNNNNNNNNNNNNNNNNNNN
rnacentral:lncRNA from 1 species